rnacentral:rRNA from 1 species
UACGUAGGGGGCGAGCGUUGUCCGGAUUUAUUGGGCGCAAAGAGCUCGUAGGCGGCUUGGCAAGUCGGGUGUGAAACCUCCAGGCUCAACCUGGAGACGCCACUCGAUACUGCCAUGGCUAGAGUCCGGUAGGGGACCACGGAAUUCCUGGUGUAGCGGUGAAAUGCGCAGAUAUCAGGAGGAACACCGGUGGCGAAGGCGGUGGUCUGGGCCGGCACUGACGCUGAGGAGCGAAAGCGUGGGUAGCAAACAGG